rnacentral:rRNA from 1 species
UCCGAGUUGUAAUUUGUAGAGGAUGUUUUGGGUACCGCCCCGGUUUAAAUUUCUUGGAACAGAAUGUCAGAGAGGGUGAGAAUCCCGUCUUGGACCGGCGGUAGGGCCUGUGUAAAACUCCUUCGACGAGUCGAGUUGUUUGGGAAUGCAGCUCAAAAUGGGUGGUAAAUUUCAUCUAAAGCUAAAUAUUGGCCAGAGACCGAUAGCGCACAAGUAGAGUGAUCGAAAGAUGAAAAGAACUUUGAAAAGAGAGUUAAACAGUAUGUGAAAUUGUUGAAAGGGAAGCGCUUGCAACCAGACUUGAGCGCGACGGUUCCCCUAGCCUUUUGGCUAGGUUACUCUGUCGUGUCCAGGCCAACAUCGGUUCUGAGGGUCGGUCAAAGGCCCCGGGAAUGUACCUACCCACGGGUAGACUUAUAGACCGGGGUGUCAUGCGGCCUCUCGGGACCGAGGAACGCGCUUCGGCUCGGAUGUUGGCGUAAUGGUUGUCAGCGACCCGUCUUGAAACACGGACCAAGGAGUCUAACAUCUAUGCGAGUGUUUGGGUGUCAAACCCGGAACGCGGAAUGAAAGUGAACGGAGGUAGGAAGCUUCGGCUGCACUAUCGACCGAUCCUGAAGUUUACGGAUGGAUUUGAGUAAGAGCAUAGCUGUUGGGACCCGAAAGAUGGUGAACUAUGCCUGAAUAGGGUGAAGCCAGAGGAAACUCUGGUGGAGGCUCGCAGCGGUUCUGACGUGCAAAUCGAUCGUCAAAUUUGGGUAUAGGG